rnacentral:rRNA from 1 species
UGCGUAGGCGGGGCAAUAAGUCAGUGGUGAAAUCCUGCGGCUUAACCGUAGAAUUGCCAUUGAUACUGUUGUUCUUGAGUACAGUUGAGGUGGGCGGAAUGUGUAAUGUAGCGGUGAAAUGCUUAGAUAUUACACAGAACACCGAUUGCGAAGGCAGCUCACUAAGCUGUUACUGACGCUGAGGCACGAAAGCGUGGGGAGCAAACAGGAUUAGAUACCCUGGUAGUC